rfam:Ovis aries breed Texel chromosome 15, whole genome shotgun sequence.
UCCCUGGUGGCUUAGAGGGUAAAGUGUCUGCCUAUAAUGCAGGAGACCCAGAUUCAAUCCCUAGGUAGGGAA